CCCCUAUAGCUUAGUGGAAAAGCGUCAGUCUUGUAAACUGAAGGUCUGUAGUUUGAUCCUCUGCAUGGGGG
rnacentral:tRNA from 1 species